rnacentral:rRNA from 1 species
GAUGAACGCUGGCGGCGUGCCUAAUACAUGCAAGUCGAGCGGACGGACGCGACGCUUGCUUCUCUGAUGUUAGCGGCGGGCGUGUGAGUCACGCGUGUAUACUCCACCUAUAAGACUGGGAUAUCUUCGGGACACCGGCUCUUAUACCGGAUAAUCUCUUGAACCGUAGUGUUGAAUGGUGAAUGUCGGUGUUGCUGGCUCUUAUAGCUGGAUCCGCGCUGCGUUGGGUGGUUGUUAAGGUAAAGGGUUAUCAAGGCAACGAUGCAUAGCCGACCUGAGAGGGUGAUCGGCCACACUGGAACUGGGCCACGCACCAGACUCCUGCGAGAGGCCGCAGUCUGGAAUCUUCCGCAAUGGGCGGGAACAUGGCGGAGCAGCGCCGCGUGAGUUGUGAAAGUCCUGGGAUCGUAAAGCUCUGUUAUUGGGGAAAAACAUAUUUGUACGUAACUGUACACAUCGUGACGGUACCUAGUCAGAAAGCCCCGGCUAACUACGUG